GUGAACGCUGGCGGUAGGCCUAACACAUGCAAGUCGAACGGCAGCACAGUAAGAGCUUGCUCUUACGGGUGGCGAGUGGCGGACGGGUGAGGAAUACCUCGGAAUCUACUUUUUCGUGGGGGAUAACGUAGGGAAACUUACGCUAAUACCGCAUACGACCUACGGGUGAAAGCAGGGGAUCUUCGGACCUUGCGCGAUUGAAUGAGCCGAUGUCGGAUUAGCUAGUUGGCGGGGUAAAGGCCCACCAAGGCGACGAUCCGUAGCUGGUCUGAGAGGAUGAUCAGCCACACUGGAACUGAGACACGGUCCAGACUCCUACGGGAGGCAGCAGUGGGGAAUAUUGGACAAUGGGCGCAAGCCUGAUCCAGCCAUACCGCGUGGGUGAAGAAGGCCUUCGGGUUGUAAAGCCCUUUUGUUGGGAAAGAAAAGCAGCAGGUUAAGACCCCGCUGUUCUGACGGUACCCAAAGAAUAAGCACCGGCUAACUUCGUG
rnacentral:rRNA from 1 species